UACGUAGGGUGCAAGCGUUGUUCGGAAUUACUGGGCGUAAAGGGCUCGUAGGCGGCCAACUAAGUCAAACGUGAAAUCCCUCGGCUUAACCGGGGAACUGCGUCUGAUACUGGAUGGCUUGAGUUUGGGAGAGGGAUGCGGAAUUCCAGGUGUAGCGGUGAAAUGCGUAGAUAUCUGGAGGAACACCGGUGGCGAAGGCGGCAUCCUGGACCAACACUGACGCUGAGGAGCGAAAGCCAGGGGAGCAAACGGG
rnacentral:rRNA from 1 species